rnacentral:rRNA from 1 species
GCCCAGACUCCUACGGGAGGCAGCAGUGGGGGAUAUUGCACAAUGGGGGGAACCCUGAUGCAGCGACGCCGCGUGGGUGAAGGAGCGUUUCGGCGCGUAAAGCCCUAUCGGCAGGGAAGAAGGAGGACGGUACCUGGCUAAGAAGCCCCGGCUAACUACGUGCCAGCAGCCGCGGUAAUACGUAGGGGGCAAGCGUUAUCCGGAUUUACUGGGUGUAAAGGGAGCGCAGGCGGCACGCUAAGCCUGAUGUGAAAACCCGCGGCCCAACCGCGGGAGUGCAUUGGGAACUGGCGAGCUAGAGUACCGGAGGGGCAGGCGGAAUUCCUAGUGUAGCGGUGAAAUGCGUAGAUAUUAGGAGGAACACCAGUGGCGAAGGCGGCCUGCUGGACGGAGACUGACGCUGAGGCUCGAAAGCGUGGGGAGCAAACAGGAUUAGAUACCCCAGUA